rnacentral:rRNA from 1 species
AGAGCGCAGGGUGAAUGCCUUGGCACUAAGAGCCGAAGAAAGACGUGAUAAGCUGCGAAAAGCUACGGGAAGAAGCAAAUAUUCAAUGAUCCGUAGAUAUCUGAAUGGGGAAACCCACUUGAGAAGACCUCAAGUAUCCAUGCCUGAACACAUAGGGUAUGGAAGGGAACCCGGUGAACUGAAACAUCUAAGUAGCCGGAGGAAAAGAAAGAAAAAUCGAUUCUGGGAGUAGUGGCGAGCGAAACCGGAGGAGCCCAAACCUAUCUGCGUGCAGAUAGGGGUUAAGGACUGCAAUAAGUUAUCUAAUAGUUAGUAGAAAGGUUUUGGAAAAGCCUACCAAAGAGCGUGAGAGUCGCGUAAAUAAAAACGAGUUAGAGACGAGCAGUAUCCAAAGUACCACGAGACACGAGAAACCUUGUGGGAAGUCGGGGGGACCACCCCCCAAGGCUAAAUACUACUUAGUGACCGAUAGAGAAAUAGUACUGUGAAGGAAAGGUGAAAAGAACCCCGGGAGGGGAGUGAAAGAGAACCUGAAACCCUGUGUUUACAAACUGUGGAAGUGCAAUACUCAGUAAAGCACAACCGCGUACUUUUUGUAGAACGGUCCGGCGAGUUACAUUUACUGGCGAGGUUAAGCACUACAGGUGCGAAGCCGAAGGGAAACCAAGUCUUAAUAGGGCGAAUAAGUCAGUGGAAGUAGACCCGAAACCGGGUGAUCUAUCCAUGUCCAGGUUGAAGUUUUCGUAAAAGAGAAUGGAGGACCGAACUCACAUCCGUUGAAAAGGGUGGAGAUGAGGUGUGGAUAGGGGAGAAAUUCCAAUCGAACCCGGAGAUAGCUGGUUCUCCUCGAAAUAGUUUUAGGACUAGCCUCGUUAGAGUCUGCUGGAGGUAGAGCACUGAAUUUUUGCGGGGGCGUCAAAGCUUACCAAUGAAUAUCAAACUCCGAAUGCCAGCCAGAUGAUUAACGGGAGUCAGACUACACGAGAUAAGUUGGGUAGUCAAAAGGGAAAGAGCCCAGACCUACAGCUAAGGUCCCAAAGUAUGUGUUAAGUGGAAAAGGAUGUGGGAUUUCGAAGACAACUAGGAUGUUGGCUUAGAAGCAGCCAUACAUUCAAAGAGUGCGUAAUAGCUCACUAGUCGAGAGGUCCUGCGCCGAAAAUGUCCGGGGCUAAAACACAACACCGAAGCUUAGGAAGUAGAAAUACUUGGUAGAGGAGCAUUCUUACAAGCGUAGAAGCUGUAUCGGAAGAAGCAGUGGAGAAGUAAGAAGAGAGAAUGCCGGAAUGAGUAGCGAGAAAGAGGUGAGAAUCCUCUUGGCCGAAUAUCUAAGGUUUCCAGAGUAAAGCUGAUCUGCUCUGGGUAAGUCGGGGCCUAAGGCAAGGUCGAAAGACGUAGUCGAUGGACAACAGGUUUAGAUUCCUGUACUGCAUAUAAUCAGAACUGUAGGGACACAGAGACGUAAGCGAACCCGGGAAAGCAAAGACCGGGGCAAGCGAGGUAUCCGUAUGGUAGGAAAAACCGCCAUGCAAGGAGAAAGCGUUAUGCGAAGCGAAAAGAAGUAGCGAAGUCGCUAAAGGAGCUGUCAAGAAAAGCUGCUAUUGUAUUAUAUGUACCCGUACCGUAAACCGACACAGGUGGAUGAGGAGAGAAUCCUAAGGCCGGCGGGAGAAGCAUUGUUAAGGAACUCGGCAAAAUGACCCCGUAACUUCGGGAGAAGGGGUACCAAGUGAGAGCUUGGUCACAGAAAAUAGGCUCAAGCAACUGUUUAGCAAAAACACAGGUCUAUGCGAAACCGAAAGGUGAGGUAUAUGGGCUGACGCCUGCCCGGUGCUGGAAGGUUAAGAGGAGAUGUUAGGAAACGAAGCAUUGAAUUUAAGCCCCAGUAAACGGCGGCCGUAACUAUAACGGUCCUAAGGUAGCGAAAUUCCUUGUCGGGUAAGUUCCGACCCGCACGAAAGGCGUAAUGAUUUGAGCACUGUCUCGACAAUGCACCCGGUGAAAUUGAAGUACCAGUGAAGAUGCUGGUUACCUGCGCCAGGACGGAAAGACCCCAUGGAGCUUUACUCUAGUUUGAUACUGGGAUUCGAUAAUACCUGUACAGGAUAGGUGGGAGACGAAGAGAUAUGGACGCCAGUCUGUAAGGAGUCACCGUUGGGAUACCACCCUUGUAUUAUUGGAUUUCUAACCUAUGGCCGUAAUCCGGUCAGGGGACAAUGUCAGAUGGGGAGUUUGACUGGGGCGGUCGCCUCCGAAAGAGUAUCGGAGGCGCUCAAAGGUUCCCUCAGAAUGGUCGGAAACCAUUUAAAGAGUGCAAAGGCAUAAGGGAGCUUGACUGCGACACUGACGGGUGGAGCAGGUAGGAAACUAGGACUUAGUGAUCCGGUGGUUUUACGUGGGAAAGCCAUCGCUCAACGGAUAAAAGCUACCCUGGGGAUAACAGGCUUAUCACUCCCAAGAGUUCACAUCGACGGAGUGGUUUGGCACCUCGAUGUCGGCUCAUCGCAUCCUGGGGCUGAAGUCGGUCCCAAGGGUUGGGCUGUUCGCCCAUUAAAGCGGUACGCGAGCUGGGUUCAGAACGUCGUGAGACAGUUCGGUCCCUAUCCGGCGUGGGCGUAAGAUAUUUGAGAGGAGCUGUCCUUAGUACGAGAGGACCGGGAUGGACUGACCACUGGUGUACCUGUUGGGUAGCAAGCCCAUGGCAGGGUAGCCAAGUCGGGAAGGGAUAAACGCUGAAGGCAUCUAAGCGUGAAGCCCACCUCAAGAUGAGAUAUCUCAUGCGAAAGCAGUAAGACCCCUUAGAGACUAUGAGGUAGAUAGGGUCAAGGUGU